rnacentral:rRNA from 1 species
AACGGCCACAUAAGCCCGAGAGGGCUUACUCUUAUUAGGAGCAGCAGUGGGGAAUCUUUGACAAUGGUCUAACGACUGAUCAAGCUAUCUACGAGAAGGAUAUUAUUAACAAUUUAUAAUGCCCGGCUUGCCGAGAAUAUAAAUUGUAUAUUUAUAAAUAUAAAAUAUACUUACGGGUAUAUAAUAUAUUUAUAUUACAUAAAUAAUAAAAGGUAUAACUAUAAACUUCUAAACAUAUAUAAUAAUGAUAUAUAUGUGACAGAGUCCUAACUAAAACAUGUGCCAGCAGCUGCGGUUAGACAUGGAGGGCUAGCAUUGUUCAGAAUGGCUUAAAGUACCUGUAGAACUUUUUAUAUUAUAUAUAAAAUAGAAUAAACUUGUUUUUAUAAAAAAAAUAAAAGCAUAAAGGUGAUUAGAAAUAAAGUUAGAGAGAUGAAAUACAGCGAAAACAUUAUGACUGCAGAAAUAUCACUUAAGUUUAUUGACGUUGUGAGGUGAAGGCUACGGGCGCAACAUGGAUUCGAUACCCAUUUAGUCGUAGCAGUAAACUAUGAAUACAAUAAUAGAAAAAUUAAAAUGAAUAGUAUUCCGCCUGACUAGUACGCUCGCAAGGGUGAAAUACAAGACAUUAGACGGUUGUAGUCACGAGUAGUGGAACAUGUCGUUUAAUUGGAUAAUCCUCCUAAAAUCUUACCAUCUUUUGAAUAUUUUACAGGCGUUACAUCGUUGUCGUCAGUUCAUGCCGUGAGGUUUAAUAUUUAGUUAUUUAAUGAACGUAAUCCCUUAUAUUUUAUAUAAAGCAUUGUUGAGAAACAAUGGGAAGUAGGGGCCGAAGACUAAUCAUGAUGACCCUUAUAAGAUGGGCUAUAGACGUGUUACGAUGUUAUUGACAAUUAUAAAUAUAUUUACAUAUAUUUCUUUAAACAAUAAGAUUAAGACAUAGAUACUUUCAUGGAUUGUAGUCUGAAAUUCGACUACAUGAAGGAGGAAUUGCUAGUAAUCGCGAACUAGAGAGUCGCGGUGAAAUUCUUAACUACUUCGUACUAACCACUCAUCAACAGCAAGAAGCUUUUACUUUCCUGUAAAAGAUCAUUUGAUCUUUUUGAUUGGUUUGUUUACACGUGACCUGCUGUAAGUUGAAAUACGGUUCGGUUAGGGGAACCUGA